AUGAACGCUGGCGGCGUGCCUAAUACAUGCAAGUCGAGCGAACAGACGAGGAGCUUGCUCCUCUGACGUUAGCGGCGGACGGGUGAGUAACACGUGGAUAACCUACCUAUAAGACUGGGAUAACUUCGGGAAACCGGAGCUAAUACCGGAUAAUAUAUUGAACCGCAUGGAUCAAUAGUGAAAUACGGUUUUGCUGUCACUUAUAGAUGGAUCCGCGCCGCAUUAGCUAGUUGGUAAGGUAACGGCUUACCAAGGCAACGAUGCGUAGCCGACCUGAGAGGGUGAUCGGCCACACUGGAACUGAGACACGGUCCAGACUCCUACGGGAGGCAGCAGUAGGGAAUCUUCCGCAAUGGGCGAAAGCCUGACGGAGCAACGCCGCGUGAGUGAUGAAGGUCUUCGGAUCGUAAAACUCUGUUAUUAGGGAAGAACAAAUGUGUAAGUAACUAUGCACGUCUUGACGGUACCUAAUCAGAAAGCCACGGCUAACUACGUG
rnacentral:rRNA from 1 species